rnacentral:pre_miRNA from 1 species
CUCUAGAGGGAAGCACUUUCUGUUGCUUGAAAGAAGAGAAAGCGCUUCCUUUUAGAGGA